GCCAGCAGCCGCGGUAAGACGUAGGACGCAAGCGUUAUCCGGAUUUACUGGGCGUAAGGCGUCUGUAGGCGGAAUGGUAAGUUGGGCGUGAAAGCUCCGGGCUCAACCCGGAGAGGACGUUCAAUACUGCCAGGCUAGAGGACAUCAAAGGAGCGUGGAAUUUCCGGUGUAGCGGUAAAAUGCGCAAAUAUCGGAAGGAACACCAGUGGCGAAGGCGGCGCUCUGGGAUGUACCUGACGCUAAGAGACGAAAGCUAGGGGAGCGAACAGGAUUAGAGACCCUGGUAGUCCUAGCCCUAAACGAUGGAUGCUAGGUGUAGGGCCGAGAAGGCUCUGUGCCGGAGCUAACGCGAUAAGCAUCCCGCCUGGGGAUUACGGCCGCAAGGCUAAAACUCAAACGAAUUGACGGGGCCC
rnacentral:rRNA from 1 species